GCGCCCAUGGCUCAAUGGAUAGAGCACGACGCUUCGGACGUCGCGGUUGGGGGUUCAAAUCCCUCUGGGCGCA
rnacentral:tRNA from 1 species